rnacentral:rRNA from 1 species
GAUGAACGCUGGCGGCGUGCAUAACACAUUCAAGUCGAACGGUGACGAGGACUUCGGUCCUCUGAUCAGUGGCGGACGGGUGAGUAACGCGUGAGCAACCUGCCCUAUAUUGCGGGAUAACAACCGGAAACAGUUGCUAAUACCGCAUGACGUAUUCGGAUCGCAUGUUCUGAAUACCAAAGAAUUUUGAUAUAGGAUGGGCUCGCGUCCGAUUAGGCAGUUGGUGGGGUAACGGCCCACCAAACCGACGAUCGGUAGCCGAACUGAGAGGGUGAACGGCCACAUUGGGACUGAGACACGGCCCAAACUCCUACGGGAGGCAGCAGUGGGGAAUAUUGCACAAUGGGGGAAACCCUGAUGCAGCGACGCCGCGUGAGUGAAGAAGUAUUUCGGUAUGUAAAGCUCUAUCAGCAGGGAAGAAAAUGACGGUACCUGACUAAGAAGCCCCGGCUAACUACGUG